GUCUAGGUUGUGUAGUUGGUUAUCACACUAGUCUCACACACUAAAGGUUCCUGGUUCGAACCCAAGCUCAGACA
rfam:Vitis vinifera, whole genome shotgun sequence of line PN40024, unoriented chromosome 1, chr1